CAAAAGCGUAUAUUAAAGUUGUUGCAGUUAAAAAGCUCGUAGUUGAACCUUGGGCUUGGCUGGCCGGUCCAUCUUUUUUGAUGCGUACUGGACCCAGCCGAGCCUUUCCUUCUGGCUAGCCUUUUGGCGAACCAGGACUUUUACUUUGAAAAAAUUAGAGUGUUCAAAGCAGGCCUUUGCUCGAAUAUAUUAGCAUGGAAUAAUAGAAUAGGACGUUAUGGUUCUAUUUUGUUGGUUUCUAGGACCAUCGUAAUGAUUAAUAGGGACGGUCGGGGGUAUCAGUAUUCAGUUGUCAGAGGUGAAAUUCUUGGAUUUACUGAAGACUAACUACUGCGAAAGCAUUUGCCAAGGACGUUUUCAUUAA
rnacentral:rRNA from 1 species